UCAAAGGAAUUGACGGGGAGCACCACAACGGGUGGAGCUUGCGGUUUAAUUGGAUUCAACGCCGGAAAUCUUACCGGGACCGACAGCAAUAUGAAGGCCAGGCUGAAGACUUUGCCGGAUUAGCUGAGAGGUGGUGCAUGGCCGUCGUCAGUUCGUACUGUGAAGCAUCCUGUUAAGUCAGGCAACGAGCGAGACCCACGCCCACAGUUGCCAGCGUACUCUCUGGAGUGACGGGUACACUGUGGGGACCGCCGCUGCUAAAGCGGAGGAAGGAAUGGGCAACGGUAGGUCAGUAUGCCCCGAAUAUCCCGGGCUACACGCGAGCUACAAUGGUUGGUACAAUGGGUAUCUACCCCGAAAGGGGACGGGAAUCUCCUAAAACCAAUCUUAGUUCGGAUUGAGGGCUGCAACUCGCCCACAUGAGGCUGGAAUCCGUAGUAAUCGCGUUUCAAAAUAGCGCGGUGAAUAUGUCCCUGCUCCUU
rnacentral:rRNA from 1 species